AACGAACGCUGGCGGCAUGCCUAACACAUGCAAGUCGAACGAGACCUUCGGGUUUAGUGGCGCACGGGUGCGUAACGCGUGGUAACCUGCCCUUAGGUUCGGAAUAACUCCCCGAAAGGGGUGCUAAUACCGGAUAAUGUCUUCGGACCAAAGAUUUAUCGCCUUUGGAUGGGCCCGCGUUGGUUUAGCUAGUUGGUAGGGUAAACGCCUACCAAGGCGAGGUUCCAUAGCUGGUCUGAGAGGAUGAUCAGCCCCACUGGGACUGAGACACGGCCCAGACUCCGACGGAAGGGAGCAGUGUGUUAUAUUAGACAAGGGGCGAAAGCCUGAUUCAGCAAUGCCGCGUGAGUGAGGAAGGCCUUAGUGUUGUAAAGCUCUUUUACCCGGGAUGAUAGUGACAGUACCGGGAGAAUAAGCUCCGGCUAACUCCGUG
rnacentral:rRNA from 1 species